GACAGAGGGUGCAAACGUUGUUCGGAAUUACUGGGCGUAAAGCGUGUGUAGGCGGCCUUGCAAGUCGGAUGUGAAAGCCCCGGGCUCAACCCGGGAAGUACACCCGAUACUGCUAGGCUCGAGUACCGGAGAGGUUGGUGGAAUUCUCGGUGUAGAGGUGAAAUUCGCAGAUAUCGGGAGGAACACCUAUGGCGAAGGCAGCUCGCUGGGACGUUACUGACGCUGAGACGCGAAAGCGUGGGGAGCAAACAGG
rnacentral:rRNA from 1 species